GGUCGUUAGCUCAGUUGGUAGAGCAGUUGACUUUUAAUCAAUUGGUCGCAGGUUCGAAUCCUGCACGACC
rnacentral:tRNA from 17 species